CCUACGGGUGGCAGCAGUGGGGAAUAUUGGGCAAUGGGCGCAAGCCUGACCCAGCAACGCCGCGUGAAGGAAGAAGGCUUUCGGGUUGUAAACUUCUUUUAAGAGGGAAGAGCAGAAGACGGUACCUCUUGAAUAAGACACGGCUAACUACGUGCCAGCAGCCGCGGUAAUACGGAGGUGGCAAGCGUUGUCCGGAUUUACUGGGUGUAAAGGGCGUGCAGCAGGGAAGACAAGUCAGAUGUGAAAUCCCGCGGCUCAACCGCGGAACUGCAUUUGAAACUGUCUUUCUUGAGUACAGGUGAGGUCGUCGGAAUUCGUGGUGUAGCGGUGAAAUGCGUAGAUAUAAGGAAGAACACCGGUGGCGAAGGCGGAUGACUGGACGGCAACUGACGGUGAGGCGCGAAAGCGUGGGGAGCAAACGGGAUUAGAUACCCGUGUAGUC
rnacentral:rRNA from 1 species